rnacentral:rRNA from 1 species
CCUACGGGUGGCAGCAGUCGAGAAUCAUUCACAAUGGGGGAAACCCUGAUGGUGCGACGCCGCGUGGGGGAAUGAAGGUCUUCGGAUUGUAAACCCCUGUCAUGUGGGAGCAAAUUAAAAAGAUAGUACCACAAGAGGAAGAGACGGCUAACUCUGUGCCAGCAGCCGCGGUAAUACAGAGGUCUCAAGCGUUGUUCGGAAUCACUGGGCGUAAGGCGUGCGUAGGCUGUUUCGUAAGUCGUGUGUGAAAGGCGCGGGCUCAACCCGCGGACGGCACAUGAUACUGCGAGGCUAGAGUAAUGGAGGGGGAACCGGAAUUCUCGGUGUAGCAGUGAAAUGCGUAGAUAUCGAGAGGAACACUCGUGGCGAAGGCGGGUUCCUGGACAUUAACUGACGCUGAGGCACGAAGGCCAGGGGAGCGAAAGGGAUUAGAUACCCCAGUAGUC